rnacentral:rRNA from 1 species
AAACGGUUGCUAAUACCGGAUAUGCAUCAUGGCCGCAUGGUCUGUGGUGGGAAAGAUUUUUCGGUUGGGGAUGGGCUCGCGGCCUAUCAGCUUGUUGGUGAGGUAGUGGCUCACCAAGGCGUCGACGGGUAGCCGGCCUGAGAGGGUGACCGGCCACACUGGGACUGAGACACGGCCCAGACUCCUACGGGAGGCAGCAGUGGGGAAUAUUGCACAAUGGGCGGAAGCCUGAUGCAGCAACGCCGCGUGAGGGAUGACGGCCUUCGGGUUGUAAACCUCUUUUAGCAGGGAAGAAGCGUAAGUGACGGUACCUGCAGAAAAAGCGCCGGCUAACUACGUGCCAGCAGCCGCGGUAAUACGUAGGGCGCAAGCGUUAUCCGGAAUUAUUGGGCGUAAAGAGCUCGUAGGCGGUUUGUCGCGUCUGCUGUGAAAACCCGAGGCUCAACCUCGGGCCUGCAGUGGGUACGGGCAGACUAGAGUGCGGUAGGGGAGAUUGGAAUUCCUGGUGUAGCGGUGGAAUGCGCAGAUAUCAGGAGGAACACCGAUGGCGAAGGCAGAUCUCUGGGCCGUUACUGACGCUGAGGAGCGAAAGGGUGGGGAGCAAACAGGCUUAGAUACCCUGGUAGUCCACCCCGUAAACGUUGGGAACUAGUUGUGGGGGCCUUUCCACGGUCUCCGUGACGCAGCUAACGCAUUAAGUUCCCCGCCUGGGGAGUACGGCCGCAAGGCUAAAACUCAAAGGAAUUGACGGGGACCCGCACAAGCGGCGGAGCAUGCGGAUUAAUUCGAUGCAACGCGAAGAACCUUACCAAGGCUUGACAUACACCGGAAACGUCUGGAAACAGUCGCCCCUUUUUGGUCGGUGUACAGGUGGUGCAUGGUUGUCGUCAGCUCGUGUCGUGAGAUGUUGGGUUAAGUCCCGCAACGAGCGCAACCCUCGUUCUAUGUUGCCAGCACGUUAUGGUGGGAACUCAUGGGAUACUGCCGGGGUCAACUCGGAGGAAGGUGGGGAUGACGUCAAAUCAUCAUGCCCCUUAUGUCUUGGGCUUCACGCAUGCUACAAUGGCCGGUACAAAGGGCUGCAAUACCGUGAGGUGGAGCGAAUCCCAAAAAGCCGGUCCCAGUUCGGAUUGAGGUCUGCAACUCGACCUCAUGAAGUCGGAGUCGCUAGUAAUCGCAGAUCAGCAACGCUGCGGUGAAUA